GACGAACGCUGGCGGCGUGCUUAACACAUGCAAGUCGAACGGAGCACCCUUGAAUGAGACUUCGGUCAAAGGAAAGGAAUGCUUAGUGGCGGACUGGUGAGUAACGCGUGAGGAACCUGCCUUUCAGAGGGGGACAACAGCUGGAAACGGCUGCUAAUACCGCAUGACGCAUUCGGAUGGCAUCAUCUGAAUGCCAAAGAUUUAUCGCUGAAAGAUGGCCUCGCGUCUGAUUAGAUAGUUGGCGGGGUAACGGCCCACCAAGUCGACGAUCAGUAGCCGGACUGAGAGGUUGACCAGCCACAUUGGGACUGAGAUACGGCCCAGACUCCUACGGGAGGCAGCAGUGGGAAUAUUGGGCAAUGGGCGCAAGCCUGACCCAGCAACGCCGCGUGAAGGAAGAAGGC
rnacentral:rRNA from 1 species